AAACUAAAAACACUCCUAAAAGGGAAAACGGUAUUCAUAAAAUAUGUUCAUUUAACUUCAUUCAAAGUAAUAGAAGAAAUUAAGAAAAAAUUUUAAUAUUUGAAUGAACAAUAUUAAAGCUAUACAUUUUAAAAAAGAAAUGACAUCAGAUAUUAGAUUUCUAAGGAAAUUUUCUGCUUUUAGAAAAUAUUAAAGUUUAUGAAGAAAUAAACUUUUUAAACCUGAUUAACUUGUAAGCAUUUUAUAAGCUUCCAAAAUAAUAUAGCAGUUAUUCUAGCACUUUACUUGAAGGCUUUGUAUUUCGUCAAUAUUUUGUCAAACAAUAAUUUAAUAAAGUUUUGGUUUAUGUAAAAUCCAAAUUUUCCUGAUCUAACGGUUUUACUUUGAAGAUCAACACUAUAACUUUGCAACAAUGGUUUUCAAUGCACAGGUUUAACAGUCA
rnacentral:lncRNA from 1 species